AUACGUAGGGGGCGAGCGUUGUCCGGAAUGAUUGGGCGUAAAGGGCGCGUAGGCGGCCCGGUAAGUCUGGAGUGAAAGUCCUGUUUUUAAGUUGGGAAUUGCUUUGGAUACUGUCGGGCUUGAGUGCAGGAGAGGUAAGUGGAAUUCCCAGUGUAGCGGUGAAAUGCGUAGAGAUUGGGAGGAACACCAGUGGCGAAGGCGACUUACUGGACUGUAACUGACGCUGAGGCGCGAAAGUGUGGGGAGCAAACAGGAUUAGAUACCCUGGUAGUCCACACUGUAAACGAUGAAUGCUAGGUGUAGGGGGUAUCGACCCCUUCUGUGCCGCAGUCAACACAAUAAGCAUUCCGCCUGGGGAGUACGGCCGCAAGGUUGAAACUCAAAUGAAUUGGCGGGG
rnacentral:rRNA from 1 species